rnacentral:rRNA from 1 species
UACGUAGGGGGCAAGCGUUAUCCGGAUUUACUGGGUGUAAAGGGAGCGUAGACGGUGAUGCAAGUCAGAAGUGAAAGCCCGGGGCUCAACUCCGGGACUGCUUUUGAAACUGUGUGACUGGAGUGCAGGAGAGGUAAGCGGAAUUCCUGGUGUAGCGGUGAAAUGCUUAGAGAUCAUACAGAACACCGAUUGCGAAGGCAGCUUACCAAGCUACUUCUGACGUUGAGGCACGAAAGCGUGGGGAGCAAACAGG